UCUCCCUCUAUUUCUCUUUCUUCUCCUGCUCUCUCCUUUCUCUCCAUCGACAUCUCACACAAACACAUGAGCACCACCAGCGACAACUACCAGCCACUGCCAAUCGAUUGAUUCCGAGCUUGGCAUUUGAGUCUAAUUCCGAGCCUUAGAUUAAUUCGGCGAGAGCCUUGGAUUGCAUCCCUUAUUCGAUUAAUUCAUUUCAUUUCAACUUUAUGAUCUCAAGCAGCAAGGAUUAUGAGGUAUUUUGAAUUGUGUUGUGUUUAUGGCUCUUCAAUGAAAAUUUCUAUUAAUUUGGUUAUGUAACAUGUUUUGAUGGUUUGAAUGUCUCUGUUCUUACAGAAAUUGUUUCCAAUUGCUAAUUGAAUUUUGCUUUGUUCUGAA